UGUCAUAUUUUAUUGGAUAGUAAAUUAUGGAGGCAUUUUUUUAAAUUUCACAAUAAUAGAGGGCAUAUACCCUAAAAUUUCCCAAUUGAAUUGGACUUCUGCCUUUGUUAGAGCUUGAAGUUUGCAGCCACAUACUUCUUUCUAUAUCUUCAUCUCCAUGUAUUGUGAAUAUUGCAAGCAUGACUAAUGCUACUUUGCUUAUGUGAUAUAAAUAUAGAUAUGUGUGCAUGUUAAAGUUCAUUCAAGCCAAUAUUGAAAGCAUCAAGUUUUUAUGUGAGUUCCAUUGCCUCUCUCUCCCUGUCUUUCAGGAGCAUAAUUGUUAGUGAAAAUGGCCCAUUUUGAACUUUUCAAGAGAGAUGCUUCCAUGGCCACUACUUCAAGUUUUUCAAUUUCAUUUCUUUCUGAUUAAUAGAAUAGGUGGUGUUGUGGCCAAAUAUGGUGUGAAAUGGGUGUACUUUGACUUGAAGGAUUUGGGCAACAGUAACACCACAAGGCAGUGAGACUUGUAUGGUUCAUUUAGAUGCAUCUUCACCAUACAGCACUUUUUAGGAAAUUAAGGACAGAAAGGCCAGUGGUGAGUGGGACCUAAGAGCUUCGUGAUGUACUCGUGGGGACCAUAUAGUUGAGGAAGAUCAAGCGGGCCUAAUUAUUAUUUUUUUUAUUAAAGAAAAUUUAUUUUAAAGUUUAUUUAACUGUUUCUCAUUUUUAUGUUAAAGACAAUUAUUUUAUUUUUGUAAAACCAUGGAUCCAUGUAUGUAUUUAUUUUAAAGUUUUUAUUCAAUAAAGGAGCAAUAUUUACGAUUAUGACCCAACGUUGUGUUCUUGGUAAUCUAUGAGAAAUUAGGGCGUUACCGGUGGUAUCAGAGCCCACGGCUAUAUUGGUCCUGAACGUUCCCACGAAAUACACACGAUAGCUACAAAGGACUUACUCGUUACCAAGUAAGUAUACACAUUAUUUUCGAAAUAUGUUUGUAAUGUUUUUCUUGUGUUAU